rnacentral:rRNA from 1 species
GAUGAACGCUGGCGGCGUGCCUAAUACAUGCAAGUCGAGCGAACGGACGAGAAGCUUGCUUUUCUGAUGUUAGCGGCGGACGGGUGAGUAACACGUGGAUAACCUACCUAUAAGACUGGGAUAACUUCGGGAAACCGGAGCUAAUACCGUAUAAUAUUUUGAACCGCAGGGUUCAAAAGUGAAAGACGGUCUUGCUGUCACUUAUAGAUGGAUCCGCGCUGCAUUAGCUAGUUGGUAAGGUAACGGCUUACCAAGGCAACGAUGCAUAGCCGACCUGUGAGGCGGAUAGGCGACAUUGGAACGUAGACGCGGACAUGACUCCUGCGGUACGCAGCAGUAGGGUAUGUGACGCAAUGGUGGAAAGUCUGACGGAGUAACGGGGAGUGAGUGAUGACGGUCUUCGGAUCGUAAAACUGUGUUAUUAGGUAAGAACCUCUGUGUCAGUAGCUGUGCCCAGCUUGACGGUAACUAAUAAGAAAGCAACGGCUAACUACGUG